CAGAAGUCAAAUCUGUGUCACUCCCUUUUGGUCUUCGGCCUGUCCCUAGCUGAUUUCCAGGAGGGAAGAUGAAAACUUUGCUUCUCUCUCUCCUCUUUGCUAUUGCAGCAUGUGUCCGUUCCCAGGUUACACUGCUGCAGACCGGAGCAGCCCAGGUGAAGCCCUCACAGACCCUGAGACUGACCUGCUCCGUGUCUGGAUUCUCUCUCACGUCUAGCGGGCAAAGAGUGAGCUGGAUUCGACAGCCCCCGGGGAAAGGCCUGGAGUGGUUGUGCCUUGUUGAUUGGGAGGACGACAAAUAUUACCAGGAGUCCCUGAAAAACCGACUGACCAUCUCGAGGGACACCUCUAAAAGCGAGGUGUAUUUGGAAAUGAGAGGCAUGGAAGCCGGAGACAGCGGCACCUAUUACUGCGCCAGGAGCUACACAGUGACACAGAGCAAAGCAGGGACUCGUACAAAAAGGGGAAGCAGAUUCUGAGCAGCGCAGUGA